UAUAAAGUCUAACCUGCCCACUGAUAAUUAUUAAAGGGCCGCGGUAUUUUGACUGUGCAAAGGUAGCAUAAUCAUUUGUCUCUUAAUUGGAGGCUGGAAUGAAUGGUUGAAUGAAAUAUUAACUGUCUCAUUUUUAAAAUUUUAAAAACUUAGCUUUUAAGUCAAAAGGCUUAAAUGAAUUUAGAGGACGAGAAGACCCUAUAGAUCUUUAUAAUUUAUUUAAUUUUAUAAAAUAGAAAAAUAAUUAAUAAAAUUAAAAUGAUUAUUUUAUUGGGGUGAUAGGAAAAUUUAAUAAACUUUUUUUAUUAAUUAACAUUGAUUUAUGAUUAAUUGAUCCAUUUUUAGUGAUUAUAAGAUUAAGUUACCUUAGGGAUAACAGCGUAAUUUUUUUAGAGAGUUCUUAUCGAUAAAAAAGAUUGCGACCUCGAUGUUGAAUUAAAGGUUAUUUCUAGAUGUAGCAGUUUAGAGUUUAGG
rnacentral:rRNA from 1 species